UUGGAGUCGUUUCGUAGCGCACUGCGCUCUC
rnacentral:sRNA from 1 species